GGGCUGGGAGCCUGUCGCACCAAGAGUGAGUGUGAGCAUCUGUCAGCAGAAACACAGAUCCUUCACCACCCACCAUGGAGCCCCAGGUGCCGGGACGGAUGCCCAGGGCUGGACUCCUGCUGCUGCCCCUUCUCCUCUGCUUCGGGCCAGAGACCACCAGGAGCAUCAACCCGGCCGCGCUCA